rnacentral:tRNA from 1 species
GGUGAGAUGGCCGAGCGGUCUAAGGCGCCAGACUAAGGCAGCUGCCGGUAAUCUGGUCCGAAAGGGCGUGGGUUCGAAUCCCGCUCUCAUCA